rnacentral:rRNA from 1 species
UACGGAAGGGGCAAGCGUUGUUCGGAAUCAUUGGGCGUAAAGGGUGCGUAGGCGGCGCGGUAAGUCGGGUGUGAAAUCUCGGAGCUUAACUCCGAAACUGCAUUCGAUACUGCCGUGCUUGAGGACUGGAGAGGAGACUGGAAUUUACGGUGUAGCGGUGAAAUGCGUAGAUAUCAGGAGGAACACCUAUUGCGAAGGCAGCUCGCUGGGACGUAACUGACGCUGAGACGCGAAAGCGUGGGGAGCAAACAGG